CCAUAUCAAUUCUCAUCAACGGCCUUACCAACUCAAUGCUCAGCAAAGCUCCUAUCAGUUUAGGGCUCCACAAGGACCAAACCCAAACAUCAAUGCUCCACAAGGUGCACACCAUAACCUUAGCUCACAGCAAGGUGCGUACCAUAACCUUAACUCACAACAAGGUGCGUACCAUGACCUUAACUCACAGCAAGGUGCCUACAAGUACGGACCCUGAUGAGUUCAGAGUUUCUGUAUCAUAGUUAUUCUAGAUGACUGUUGGUGUUAUUAGUGUAACCAAUAGUAUACGUAGAAGAUACUUCUAUUUUGCCAAUCUACUUUCGAGCU
rnacentral:lncRNA from 1 species